rnacentral:rRNA from 1 species
GGACCUGACCGCUAUCGGAUCGAUUCUAAGCCAUGCGAGUCUUCGUAGUAAUACAAGGCAGACGGCUCAGUAACACGUAGUCAAUCUAACCUAUGGACAGGGAUAACCUCGGGAAACUGAGAAUAAUACCUGAUAGAUCAUUAUACCUGGAAUGGUUUAUGGUCGAAAUGAUUUAUCGCCGUAGGAUGGGACUGCGGUCUAUCAGCUUGUUGGUGAGGUAAUGGCCCACCAAGGCUAUAACAGAUACGGGCUCUGAGAGGAGAAGCCCGGAGAUGGGUACUGAGACACGGACCCAGGCCCUAUGGGGCGCAGCAGGCGAGAAAACUUUGCAAUGUGCGAAAGCACGACAAGGUUAAUCCGAGUGUUUUCUGCUAAAGAAAUCUUUUGUCAGUCCUAAAAACACUGAUGAAUAAGGGGUGGGCAAGUUCUGGUGUCAGCC